rnacentral:tRNA from 1 species
UACCGGGUCGUCUAAUGGUAGGACUUUGGUUUCUGGAUCCAACAAUUGGGGUUCGAAUCCCUACCCGGUAA